CUGCAUGAAAAGUAGGAUUUUCGUCAGUAAGCGGCACUGUAGAUUGUCGUGGAAGUUCAGGUUUACGACUGCACACGGCAAUUUGCAGGCAACACCGAAAACUGCCGUGAAUUGUCAGAAAUUGACGUGGACCUUGCUUGGCAGUUGUCCCCCCGUGACCCCCCUUCCCCUAAUUCCAGGGGAGGCUUUAACAUGUAAAUGAAAAUACUGUGAGCUAUACAAAUGCAAAUGCAAAUUCUCUCAGAAUCAACUAAUUUUGAGAGAAAUGUCUGCAGGUAUCCAUCUGCUACUUCCAGUCUAUUGAUGGAUAUGACUCUGGAGCAGAGUAUGAUACAAGCCUGCACAAAGUCAAGUUUUUAUAAUUCCUAAGCCAAAGCAAAUGUUGAGUUUAAAUCAGUCAUAAAUCCAGAAUGAAACAUGGUUGUUUUAGGAUACAGAGUGUACUUGAAACCUAAGCAAGAGAUCUCAGGAAAUAAAAUCAACAAAAUCAGUAAAAUCACCUAGAACAAACACAAGCCAAAGUGUCUGUUUUUUUCCCCUUAAUAUAUGUAAUCGCUCAUAAAAUAAAUAAUUUGAUUAUGAACAAUAGCAACAUCAAUUAACAAGACUUGUUAAUAAAAAACAUUAAAGACUUUGCAAUUCACAUUUGCUUUAGGUAGCCUACUGCUAAUUUUAGCUUAAUCUGUCUCUUGUAAUUUGUGUUUAGAAAACAUGGUAGCACACUACAGACACAAUAUGAUACACUAUUGUUGAAAAUAAAUAUUUAUACUUAAUUUCGUUGACAAGUUUGACAUUCAUUGAAACUAGUGUCCCAUGUUAACGUGGGCGUGGUUUGUGAGCGUGACGUGAGAGCAUGAUAAACUUCCUUAAAACUGCUCCAAAAACGCAGGAACGAACACCGCAUAAUCGAGGCGAUUUAUUACGCAUUAUACAGCUGGUGAAACAUACGUUUUUAAAUCUAUAAUCCGUGGAAUAUCGCAUGUGACGAAUCUGUCGCCGUCUAACAUUUGCUGGAAAUCCAGGUAAAACUAUCUGCGUGCUCGCGCGCGCCCCCAGUUAACAUGAUCUCCAGUUGAUCCGUAACACCGGCGAGAAGAAACUGCUGAAUGCUAUCAGUGGGCUGCCGAUGUGAGCAGUUCACUUUAGUAAACUCCAGGUUGCUGUCCAUAGAAGAUAGGUUGGCUGCUUUGGAUUCGAAAAACUGUGUGGAAGAUACUAACUCUAAGAAGAGAAGACGGGUGCACAAUCCUAAAAUUGCGUACAAACAUCCAGAUCUUGCAUCGCAGGCGGAAGCUGUGAAGCGGUUAGCUCGGAGUCGAGCGAGAAGAAAGAGGCUGCUAGAAGCAAGACCGUGUGCUAGCUGAGGAUGAGGUGGGCCUUUGGAAGUGCGCUACCGUAGACCUGAUGUCUGAUGAGGAAGACGGCAUCGUUGACGGGGUGUCUGGAUGGAUUGCACUGAGCUCUGUGCCACGCUGCAGUCGAGAUUUGAGGCGAUUCCAAAGUACAGGACAACGCACCACAGACGUCUGUAAAAUGGACUGAAUUCAGACAGAAUGCCGCUAGUUACCUACAGCUCCGAAGCGGAAAACAGACAUUUCAUGGUGCUGUAGGAUUUUGGGCUUCUCGUGAGCUCCCCAUUUGUUGUGUGGGCAGAUCUCCUACGUUUUGUACAUGGUUGUGUGUUUGUGUUUGUGCUAAUAAAGCUCUUUCUUUGAAUAAACA